AUGAUUGUAUCAUGGAACAUUAUGGGGAUAAAUAAAAUGGUGAAGACUAAAGAGGUUACUCACAGAAGGAAGCAUAAUUUCAAAUUUUUGAAUAAGGUCAUUGAUGUGGAUGGCUAUGCUGCAGUUGUGGAGGGGAACUGGAAGAAACCUUUGAAUGGGAGUUCUAUGGUCAGGAUUUGGAAGAAGCUCCUGAGGUUACAACCUUUGAUUAAAAAGUUAAGCAAGCCCUUGACUAGUAUAAAUAACACUCUUAAGAAAUCUAGACAGGAUUUGUUGGAAGCUCAGAAUAAGCUAAUGCAAGACAAGAUGAAUAAGAAUCUGAUCCUGGCAGUGAAGUAA
rnacentral:lncRNA from 1 species